rnacentral:rRNA from 1 species
ACGAACGCUGGCGGCGUGCCUAAUACCUGCAAGUUGAGCGCUGAAGGUUGGUACUUGUACCCACUGGAUGAGCAGCGAACGGGUGAGUAACGCGUGGGGAAUCUGCCUUUGAGCGGGGGACAACAUUUGGAAACGAAUGCUAAUUCCGCAUAAAAACUUUAAACACAAGUUUUAAGUUUGAAAGAUGCAAUUGCAUCACUCAAAGAUGAUCUCGCGUUGUAUUAGCUAGUUGGUGAGGUAAAGGCUCACCAAGGCGAUGAUACAUAGCCGACCUGAGAGGGUGGUCGGCCACAAUGGGACUGAGACACGGCCCAAGCUCCUACAGGAGGCAGCAGUAGGGAAUCUUCGGCAAUGGACGAAAGUCUGACCGAACAACGCCGCGGGAGUGAAGGAGGUUUUCGGAUCGUAAAACUCUGUUGGUAGAGAAGAACGUUGGGGAGAGUGGAAAGCUCAUCAAGUGACGGUAACUACCCAGAAAGGGACGGCUAACUACGUG